UGUCAGGCUGCUGCGGAACGAUUAUUAUCGGAUAUGGGUAUAGAAAAAGCGAGCAUCGAUGCUUUGGUUUUGGUAACCCAGACGCCGGAUUUUCGGAAUCCUGCAACGGCGGUGAUUUUGCAGGAUAGGUUGGGUUUGCCAAAGACUACGUUGGCCUUUGAUGUGGCCUUGGGCUGCAGCGGCUACGUGUAUGGAUUGUACGUAUUGAGUUCUUUGGUCUCCGCUGGCCGCAUCGGCAAUGCCUUGUUGUUGGUAGGAGAUACGGCGUCGUUAACGUCAUCGCCGUUGGAUAAAAGUAGAAAUUUAUUGUUUGGCGAUGGAGGUUCGGCCACCUUGCUGCAAUUUGAUCCAACCCCUGACCUGCAUUCGAUACGGUCGAGCUAGAGUGUGGUAGGGGAGACUGGAAUUCCUGGUGUAGCGGUGGAAUGCGCAGAUAUCAGGAGGAACACCGAUGGCGAAGGCAGGUCUCUGGGCCAUUACUGACACUGAGGAGCGAAAGCGUGGGGAGCGAACAGGAUUAGAUACCCUGGUAGUCCACGCCGUAAACGGUGGGCGCUAGUUGUGCGAACCUUCCACGGUUUGUGCGACGCAGCUAACGCAUUAAGUGCCCCGCCUGGGGAGUACGAUCGCAAGAUUAAAACUCAAAGGAAUUGACGGGGCCCCGCACAAGCAGCGGAGCAUGCGGCUUAAUUCGACGCAACGCGAAGAACCUUACCAAGGCUUGACAUAUACAGGAAUACGGCAGAGAUGUCGUAGCCGCAAGGUCUGUAUACAGGUGGUGCAUGGUUGUCGUCAGCUCGUGUCGUGAGAUGUUGGGUUAAGUCCCGCAACGAGCGCAACCCUCGUUCUGUGUUGCCAGCAUUUAGUUGGGGACUCACAGGAGACUGCCGGGGUUAACUCGGAGGAAGGUGGGGAUGACGUCAAAUCAUCAUGCCCCUUAUGUCUUGGGCUGCACGCAUGCUACAAUGGCUGGUACAAACGGCUGCAAUACCGCAAGGUGGAGCGAAUCCGAGAAAGCCAGUCUCAGUUCGGAUUGGGGUCUGCAACUCGACCCCAUGAAGUCGGAGUUGCUAGUAAUCGUAGAUCAGCAACGCUACGGUGAAUACGUUCCCGGGGCUUGUACACACCGCCCGUCACGUCACGAAAGUCGGUAACACCCAAAGUCAGUGGCCUAACCGCAAGGAGGGAGCUGCCUAAGGUGGGAUCGGUGAUUGGGACGAAGUCGUAACAAGGUAGCCGUACCGGAAGGUGCGGCUG
rnacentral:rRNA from 1 species